rnacentral:tRNA from 2 species
GCCCGAGUAGCUCAGGGGAUAGAGCAACCGCCUCCUAAGCGGUUGGCCGCAGGUUCGAGUCCUGCCUCGGGCACCA